rnacentral:rRNA from 1 species
UACGAAGGGGGCGAGCGUUGUUCGGAAUUACUGGGCGUAAAGGGCGCGUAGGCGGCCGAUCAAGUCAGAUGUGAAAGUCCUGGGCUUAACCUGGGGACUGCAUUUGAUACUGAUUGGCUUGAAUUCGGGAGAGGAUAGCGGAAUUCCCAGUGUAGAGGUGAAAUUCGUAGAUAUUGGGAGGAACACCAGUGGCGAAGGCGACUACCUGGCCCAUUCUUGACGCUGAGGCGCGAAAGCUAGGGGAGCGAACGGG